rnacentral:rRNA from 1 species
AUUGAACGCUGGCGGCAGGCUUAACACAUGCAAGUCGAGCGGGGUGAUGGUGCUUGCACUAUCACUUAGCGGCGGACGGGUGAGUAAUGCUUAGGAAUCUGCCUAUUAGUGAGGGACAACAUCUAGAAAGGGAUGCUAAUACCGCAUACGUCCUACGGGAGAAAGCAGGGGAUCACUUGUGACCUUGCGCUAAUAGAUGAGCCUAAGUCGGAUUAGCUAGUUGGUAGGGUAAAGGCCUAACAAGGCGACGAUCUGUAGCGGGUCUGAGAGGAUGAUCCGCCACACUGGGACUGAGACACGGCCCAGACUCCUACGUGAGGCAGCAGUGGGGAAUAUUGGACAAUGGGGGGAACCCUGAUCCAGCCAUGCCGCGUGUGUGAAGAAGGCCUUAUGGUUGUAAAGCACGUUAAGCGAGGAGGAGGUUCUUUUGGUUAAUACCCAAGAUGAGCGGACGUUACUCGCAGAAUAAGCACCGGCUAACUCUGUGCCAGCAGCCGCAGUAA